rnacentral:lncRNA from 1 species
UGGCAUCGUUGCAAUUCGGUUCUAACAUGAAGACUCUGGUGUUUCAACUAUUAGCACUCUCUUGCCUGAUGAGAAUGGUAGUCUCUGAAAUAAAACCUGAUGCAGCUUGGUUAAAAAAGAAUGAAGAUCUUGUGAAAUGGUGCCAUCUAAAUCAGGGAUCCUUGUGGGACCGCGAAAAAUGUGUAUAUAAUGGUAUAACAUAAAGACAUUCCAUAACAUUUAUGUUGAAUUUAACAAUUAAUUUAACUAAAAAGAUAAUUAUACACAGAUAUAAAUGCUUUUGGUUCUACUGAUUAAAUAAUAAGAGUGUCCUUUGGAGUAUACAAACACCUCGAUGGCAUCUCGAUAUGUAUUUGCAUUCAAUCCCAUUGCAAUCAUAACGGUUCCACGGACUGCAGCCUGCAUCUGCUCCCCUGGAAGUAUCGUGCCUCCACGCCAUCAUCAUAAUCAUCCUGGUGCACAGACGCUCUAAUCGCUCAUUAAACGGCCACAAUUUGCCCGGACGGCGUUGCAUUUAAAUUACUUUCCCAUUGACUUGGCCAGGGGAAUUGGCUGAAAUUUGUUUAUGAGGGCCAGCGCAGACCUUUUAACUAAAACUAAAGCUCAUAACUCUGGCCAACCGACAUUCGGAUCUGUCUGCUCCGUUGGACAAUCGAGUCGCGUGAAUUUUAGCAAUCAGGCAAGGCCCGUGGAAGUUCCAAAGUCGCAGCUGAAAACUCUUGAAACUCCAGCCAAUGUUCCCUCCCCAGAACCCCACUGGUCCUACUUUGUUGUCGUCGCAUUCAUCAAAAAACGCUAAAGUCGUGCAGUUCGGUUUCCAAAUCUAUGCCCCACCCGCAUCCUCGAGUUCUGCAUUUUUCCCCUCAGCCCGUUCCCUUAUUGCAAUUGGCAUGCCAUGCUUGAGUUUUCCAAGUUUUUCUUUAGAAUUUUCCAUGCUCUUUAUGGGAAGAGAGGGGUAGCCAAGCUGACCGACGUGAUAUUAUAAAUUUAGCUUGCCCCAGCCUGCUGCCUCUUUCUUGUCCACCCAUGGGAAACUGCUUUCUGCCAUAUUUUGACUUUCUCUAAUCUCCCAGAAUCACCAGAACCAAACUUUGAGCUAUUCUUCAGGAUAGAGUUUGCAUG